GCAGACACAUUCCAGCCAAUCAGCAGCAGACCCUCCCUCCCAGACCCUCCCACUUCUGGACAGCAUCCAUUUUACAUUCAUUGUCAAGUUGCAUUCUUAGUGAGCUGUCCAGGAGGUGGGAGGGUCUGGGAGGGAGGGUCUGCUGCUGAUUGGCUGGAAUGUGUCUG